UACGGAGGGAGCUAGCGUUGUUCGGAAUUACUGGGCGUAAAGCGCGCGUAGGCGGCUUUGUAAGUUAGAGGUGAAAGCCCGGGCUCAACCCCGGAAUUGCCUUUAAGACUGCAUCGCUUGAAUCCGGGAGAGGUGAGUGGAAUUCCGAGUGUAGAGGUGAAAUUCGUAGAUAUUCGGAAGAACACCAGUGGCGAAGGCGGCUCACUGGACCGGCAUUGACGCUGAGGUGCGAAAGCGUGGGAGCAAACAGG
rnacentral:rRNA from 1 species